GAUGAAGAACGCAGCGAAAUGCGAUACGUAAUGUGAAUUGCAGAAUUCAGUGAAUCAUCGAGUCUUUGAACGCACAUUGCGCCCCCUGGUAUUCCGGGGGGCAUGCCUGUCCGAGCGUCAUUGCUGCCCUCAAGCCCGGCUUGUGUGUUGGGUCUCGUCCCCCUUCCCGGGGGGACGGGCCCGAAAGGCAGCGGCGGCACCGCGUCCGGUCCUCGAGCGUAUGGGGCUUUGUCACCCGCUCUGUAGGCCCGGCCGGCGCUUGCCGAUCAACCAAAACUUUUUUCCAGGUUGACCUCGGAUCAGGUAGGGAUACCCGCUGAACUUAAGCAUAUCAAUAAGCGAGGA
rnacentral:misc_RNA from 1 species